rnacentral:rRNA from 1 species
AGAGCGAACGCUGGCGGCAGGCUUAACACAUGCAAGUCGAGCGGGCGUAGCAAUACGUCAGCGGCAGACGGGUGAGUAACGCGUGGGAACAUACCUUUUGGUUCGGAACAACACAGGGAAACUUGUGCUAAUACCGGAUAAGCCCUUACGGGGAAAGAUUUAUCGCCGAAAGAUUGGCCCGCGUCUGGUUAGCUAGUUGGUGAGGUAAUGGCUCACCAAGGCGACGAUCAGUAGCUGGUCUGAGAGGAUGAUCAGCCACAUUGGGACUGAGACACGGCCCAAACUCCUACGGGAGGCAGCAGUGGGGAAUAUUGGACAAUGGGGGCAACCCUGAUCCAGCCAUGCCGCGUGAGUGAUGAAGGCCCUAGGGUUGUAAAGCUCUUUUGUGCGGGAAGAUAAUGACGGUACCGCAAGAAUAACGCCCGGCUAACUUCGCGCCAGCAGCCGC